GAUGAACGCUGGCGGCGUGCCUAAUACAUGCAAGUCGAACGAGGUGCUUUUGUAGCAAUACGAGAGUAUCCUAGUGGCGAACGGGUGAGUAACGCGUUGGUGACCUGCCCCAAAGUGUGGGAUAACAGUCCGAAAGGAUUGCUAAUACCGCAUGUGGUCAUCGGGUUUAGAAACCGGUGACUAAAGCAGUAAUGCGCUUUGGGAGGGGCCUGCGUCCCAUCAGCUAGUUGGUAGGGUAACGGCCUACCAAGGCUACGACGGGUAGGGGACCUGAGAGGGUGGCCCCCCACAAUGGAACUGAAACACGGUCCAUACACCUACGGGUGGCUG
rnacentral:rRNA from 1 species